UACGUAGGGCGCGAGCGUUGUCCGGAAUUAUUGGGCGUAAAGAGCUCGUAGGUGGCUUGUUGCGUCUGCCGUGAAAGCCCGUGGCUUAACUACGGGUCUGCGGUGGAUACGGGCAGGCUAGAGGCUGGUAGGGGCAAGCGGAAUUCCUGGUGUAGCGGUGAAAUGCGCAGAUAUCAGGAGGAACACCGGUGGCGAAGGCGGGUCUCUGGGCCGAUAUUGACGCUGAGGAGCGAAAGCGUGGGGAGCGAACAGG
rnacentral:rRNA from 1 species